AGCAAGUUGAAGAUCAGUAUGGUUGGGUUGUGUGUAAUCAAUGCGGACAAGAAUAUGUCCAAACCGUAACCAGGUAUUCAUUUUUAUAAUGAGUACUACAACUUAGAUGUAACACAUCCAAAGCGGUUGAAUUAUUCGCAUGCAUCUUAGAUAUAAUGUAAAGAUGGCCGUGAAAGACUCCACUGGCUCAAUGGAGCUCUUGCUAAAGGAUACGAAGGCAGAAUUUAUCUUACAAUGUGUCGCAUCCAAUCUGAAGAAAUUAAUGUUAAAAGAUAAUGGGGUGCAAAUGUUCACAGACUAUGUUUCUCAAUAUUAUGGACGCUCAUACGUGUUUAUUAUUGUUGCUCCAAAGGCUGCGUGUCUUGACCAUUGUGUCUCUGUUGUGACUUUCGUAUUAAAAGUUGAUUCGUGAGAAGGAUGUUUGCACAUUUUCAAAGGAAUGUCGAGGACUGACAAAGGAACAAUGGGGUCGUCAUGAUAAGAGCUUUGUUAAGAUAUUGGGAAUCUCAUAAUGACAUUUUAUUUGUUACGUUAAGUUUUACAAAUAUAUAUUCAGUUUGACUUUAUUUAAUUUUUAUUAUGUGUGUUGGGUGAUUUGUUGAUUUUGGAAAUUUUUGAC